UUGCACGUUAUUCGCAGAUUCGCAGUCGAAACGAGCGCGCCGCGCCACCAGCAGCGCCCCUAGCGGCAGCGCCCGCAACAACGACUAGAGUUCAACCAAAUCUUUUGUUUGGAUUGGAUCUACGUACUUUGGCGCGCAAUACUGCCGUCUGCAGGUAGUACUUGUUACUCGAAUUCUGAGUGAUAUCUAACCUCUGAGAGUACGAGUAGAGCUGCUAUCUUUCAUCACCACCACAGUGAUAUCGAACCUCUGAGAGUACGAGCAGAGCUGCUAUCUUUCAUCACCCUAGGCAAGUUUGGCGUUUGAGUUGCUGUGUCCAAGGUGCACCCUCCUCCCUUUUCCUUGUAUCAAUGCCCUGUCAGCCACUUACUGCUCCUGGUGAGUUUUAAUCCAUUACACAGGUGUAUCACACCUUGUUAAUUGUUUUCAUUUUCUGUCCCCGAGCUGAUGAGCAGGGUGUUGCGAUGGUCAUUAGCAGCUGUGAGCUUCUGUAGGCCAGCUGACUUUGUCGAAUGUUUAUCAUAAAGUCACGCCUGUGAGCUGAUUGGCGGCCAGGCUUGUUGCCAUCUUUUGCCUCCUCAGGUCGUUGAGAUUGGUGUUGGCACCUGAAAGCUUGUGGAGGCCCACUGCUUUUGUGGAAUGUUUAUCGUUGAGUGAUGCCUGUGAGCUGAUUGGCGGCCAGGCUUCAUCUGAGCGUUGGCCUCUUCAAGGUAGGGUGAGUUGUUUUUAAUAGCUGUGAGCUUAUGGAGGCCAGCUGCCUGCACUUGUGUUAAUAGGUCUGAGAGCUAAAAUGGCCAGGCCUGCCUUAGGUGUGAGCUAACAUUUGGCCACCUCGAGGUUUGUACGAUUUAAAGAAUGUCUAUUUAUAGUAACUGUGCACUAGUGUUUAUAAGCCUGAGAGCUAAAAUGGCCAGGCCUGCCUUAGGUGUGAGCUAUCAUUUGGCCACCUCAGACUUCUUUUUUUAAUUUUUUAAAUUUAUUUUGUGGUUAGCGCUUUGUGUAUAAGUUCAGCUUUUGGGCUAACUGCCCGGUAUCGGACAGGUUCCUGUUUCCCUGAUUUCACCUGACAUUUCCUACUGUGCACGCAGACUGCUGGCUCCUUUUCCUUUCUUGUUGCAUGUCGAGAUUGUGUUCAACAUCUGCUGCUGCUGGGACUGUCAUCGUCAUCACAUCGUUCUACUUCGAUGGAAUGUUUGACGCACAGCUUUUCAUUUACACUUUCUUUUGACUUGUGCUCAGCGAUCCGAUGGGAUAGAUUCUGGAUCGUCUUUGGAAGAUCUAUGCCAGAAAUGAGAAGAUACUGAUUGGUGAACUCGUGAGAUGUUUGCCAGACAGAUUGAAUCACAGUUCUUUGCUUUGUGAUGGUUUCAACCUUUUUGGCAUCCUGCUUACAGAGUGAAUUAUUUUGUAACUUGGAGUAUCUAUUUAGUUUAAUUAAAACAUGUUGUCACAUUACUGUGCUGACGCCUUCACCAA